rnacentral:misc_RNA from 1 species
GAGUUGAGUUGAGUUGAGUUAUCUGCAGCUCACAUGCAUUCCUGCAACAUCUCUCCAUUGUUUAGUACUUGUCAUUUGAUUCUGAAAAUUCCCUGGUUUUUGCCUUGCUAACAUGUUGAGCAUUGAGCAAUCUUUUCCAAGUUGCUGUUUUGGUUAUUUCCUGCACUAAGUUCUGGGCUUUUUCUUUGCUGUCUGUAUCCUAUUAAUUGUUUUUUUUUCCAAAUCCCUUUAACAUUCCCAAAGUGAUUGUUUUAUUUCAAUUUUUUUAAUUUACAAUUGUUCUUUUUUGUUUGUGGUUUCCUGUUUCGUUAAUGGGAAUAAGAGAUUGUGAAUGGGAAUCAUGCAUUCAAUUCUUCAUCUAUAUAACUUUGCUUAUUUGGUUGCCUGGAAUGUAAAUAAGAAAUUGGGAUGCCUUUAUUAGCUGAUAUUCAUUACGCUUGUGGGCUAUCAGGAAUAGGAAUAGCCAAACAGUCUAAUAGUUGUAAGUUGUGAAGGUCCUGUAGUCUAAUGCUAAUCCCCUUGAAAAAAAAAAAGAAAUAAAAAAUA